GAGCGUUCAUGCAUAAAUGUACUCAUGCAUUAAAGUAUUCUUGUUUAGUUCAGUAGAACAAUCAGGAGAUCAGGUUAUUAUGUUUCUAUGAUAUAGAGAACAUAUAUACAUGAAAGUAUUUCUAUUCAUAUUCAAUACAGUUGAAUGGCUUAUGAACAAGUGUAGGAUGCACUUUAAAGUAGAGAACAAUGAUAUUCUCCUGACUCUAAUAUAGAGAACUAUGCCAUGCUCAUGACUAUGUUGAUAGUGCCAUACUAGUGGAAAGAUUAUAAUGCUAUGUGAUUUAGCUUUACCCUUACAUGUUUACAAUCUAGUGGAUACUAGCUGUUGUUACUAUUUGUGUAUUGAUAUUCCGAUCAGAGGAUCGAGGGUUCUGAACUUUACAUGUGAACAUAUGAAAAUUGAGACAUGUGGAUAAUGGACUUUGCUUGCUUGCCAUCGUGCUCAUUCGCACACGCUUGUGAGGGUAGCUCCCUACAAGCCGGCACUCCGGAGUUGGCCUACGCGACAGUUGCUCGCCCGUGCGGGAUUGGGUGCCGAAGUGGAUUGCCGUGGGGAGUGUAUACUACCACGGGGCCAUUAGGCGCGGCGCAAGCUGGACUACCUUGAGUAGGUCCCUGUGAAUGAAAGGAAAGUGCUAAAGGAAAAUUGGACAGUAACGAAUAAUUACCAGUUACAGUGUACAGUAGUUACUUACACACUUAUGCUACGUUUAUGCUUAUAGUAGUAGCCAUGCUUCUAUCAUUCAGUUAAUUCAUUACUGUUGAUGCUAUGAUCACAUGUUGUUUACAUGUUCAUUAUUUGUUAACAUUGGCUUAUGAAUUGUUAGCAUUGAAAAUAUAUCAUGCAAAUUACUGCUUUUAUUUCCAUUCUGUACAUCUCGAGCCUAGUGGUGUAAUUCGCCGAGGCUGGCGGCUUACCCACUGGGAACUAUUGUUAAUAGUUCUCACGCCCUUUUGGUGGUUGUUUUUACAGAGCCUGUUACAGGAGAGGCUAGGGAUCGUGGCAAGGGAGUCGCGCCUAGCUAGGGACUACUAGGAGCGUGCUAGUCGAUCACCUUGUUACUCGGGCUACGACCGAGGGUGAUGUCCCUUUGUAUAGAGAAACCACCAUUGUAUCUAUCCUAUUUUUGUAUACUCGUGAUGUAUAUGUACUACUUGGACCGUGAACUACUGUUGUGAUACUUCUCUUCUGUCGAGAUUUUGGGAUUGUACACUCUUUGUUCUUUUGUUGAUGUAUAUAUCGACCUGUACAUUACUCUGAUAUCAGGAUAGGACUUUCUUUGUUUUACUUCCUAUCGACUUGUUGCUUGUAGACGCCUUAUAUACUGCAGGUGUAUGGCGGGUCUGUGCACGUGCCGG
rnacentral:lncRNA from 1 species